GACGUAGGGCGCGAGCGUUGUCCGGAAUUAUUGGGCGUAAAGAGCUCGUAGGCGGCUUGUCGCGUCGACUGUGAAAACCCGUGGCUCAACCAUGCGGUCUGCAGUCGAUACGGGCAGGCUAGAAUUCGGUAGGGGAGACUGGAAUUCCUGGUGUAGCGGUGAAAUGCGCAGAUAUCAGGAGGAACACCGGUGGCGAAGGCGGGUUGCUGGGCUGAUACUGACGCUGAGGCGCGAAAGCCAGGGGAGCGAACGGG
rnacentral:rRNA from 1 species